rnacentral:tRNA from 1 species
GGUAAAAUGGCUGAAAAAGCAUUAGACUGUAAAUCUAAGGAUAGAGGUUGGAGUCCUCUUUUUGCCA